CGAGGAUUUGUUCUUAGGAACGAACUCCCCACCCUUUGUUUUAUGAUUUAUCAAAUUGCUUCGGCGAGCCCAUCUCUUUAGGGAGAUGCAUCGGCUUUCAUUAGUGGAUGAGUUUGUUCGCCGAAGGUUUUUAACUCUUAACUUUGUAUUUGUCUGAAAUUUAUAAACAAAAUAA
rnacentral:misc_RNA from 1 species